GGGGUUGUGGCUCAGCGGUAGAGCACUUGCCUAGCAUGCAUGAGGCCCUGGGUUUGAAUCUCAGUACCA
rnacentral:tRNA from 1 species